rnacentral:rRNA from 1 species
GACGAACGCUGGCGGCGUGCCUAAUACAUGCAAGUAGAACGCACAGUUUAUACCGUAGCUUGCUACACCAUAGACUGUGAGUUGCGAACGGGUGAGUAACGCGUAGGUAACCUGCCUGGUAGCGGGUGAUAACUAUUGGAAACGAUAGCUAAUACCGCAUAAUAUUAAUUAUUGCAUGAUAAUUAAUUGAAAGGUGCAAUUGCACCACUACCAGAUGGACCUGCGUUGUAUUAGCUAGUAGGUGAGGUAACGGCUCACCUAGGCGACGAUACAUAGCCGACCUGAGAGGGGGGUCGGCCACACUGGGACUGAGACACGGCCCAGACUCCUACGGGAGGCAGCAGUAGGGAAUCUUCGGGAAUGGACGAAAGGCUGACCGGGCAACGCCGCGUGAGGGAAGAAGGUUGUCGGAUCGUAAAGCUCGGUUGUAAGAGAAGAACGGGUGUGAGAGUGGAAAGUUCACACUGUGACGGUAUCUUACCAGAAAGGGACGGCUAACUACGUG